rnacentral:misc_RNA from 1 species
AAAAAAAAUGUCCAUUUCUAUGAAAUUUCAAGGAAUGAGUCUGUGUACAAGCAAACAGAAACAGUGUUAUUUCAAUUCUCAGUCACGCCUCAAUAGAAUAGCCAGUCAGAAAAAGAAAAAUCUUUCACGGGCAGGCCAAUCAGCUUGUCAAUCAAUUGCUUUAAUCCCCGAUGAGAAGCUAUCAAAUAUGAUUCUUAACACACAACUGCAAGGGCCACAGUAUACUCAAUGAACAUCUGAAAACACCAUGCUAACUAAUGCUCAUCUAGCUGCUCUACAUCUUGCAUUUCAUGUGGCUCAGGGAAAAUUUCAUUGGAUAACCUUUUAUUAGAAUAUGUGUGUUCAAUUCCACCACUGCUAUGAGAUCCUAUUCUUCCUGGCUGCUUCAAGCCGCUUACACCUUCGCGGUUAGCGUGGCCUGGAACAAUAGCAUUUUCUGAUGAACUGUGUCGCCAACCGCCAGAAAAGGCGGCACUCCAGGAUCCCCUAGAUGAAGUUGUUCUCAGCCUCCCUGAACUGUAAUUCUCCUCCCUCGCAACUUUCAAAGGGUUUUCCAAUGCUUUGAGUAUAUAUUUCAUUGGGGGACGUUUUGAAGGCUUGGGAUUAAGGCAUGAUCUGGCCACAA